UGGACAACACAGAGCGGGCUGACAGGCUGUGUGAAUGCAAAGCUUCUGGAAGACUGGCUGGACUAGCAUGGGAGAAUUGAGCAUAGUUCAGUGUGUAUGUUUUGCGCUCUUUCACCGAGUUGUAAAAGCAAGCAGAGUAGAAACGGGCUACUCUUUAGUUGACUGAUGUAGCUGGCAAAACCUGAGCCCUAGGACCAUGCCUCAGGACUACCUGGCAUGAUGACUUCUUGCUGUCCCCAGUCCACCUGGCCGUGCUGCUGCUACAGUUUCAACUGUUCUGCCUGCGUCUAUGGAAUCCUGACCUGUUCACCGGACGCGCUACCUGUCCCAGACCUAUUAUUUGACCAUGCUGGUCAUUUAUGAACAUUUGUACAUCUUGGCCAUGUUCUGUUAUAAUCUCCACCCGGCACAGCCAGAAGAGGACUGGCCAUCCCUCAUAGCCUGCUUCCUCUCUAGGUUUCUUCCUAGGUUUUGGCCUAUCUAGGGAGUUUUUCCUAGCCAACAUGCUUCAACACCUGCAUUGCUUGCUGUUUGGGGUUUUAGGCUGGGUUUCUGUACAGCAAUUUGAGAUAUUAGCUGAUGUACGAAGGGCAAUAUAAAUACAUUUGAUUUGAUUUUGAUUUGAAAUCUGGAUUCCCAAUGAAAUCCCAUUGAAAAGAGAGUGACCUCAAAAAUAAAAAAUCGGAAUGGUUUUUCAUCGGG